GAUGAACGCUGGCGGCGUGCCUAAUACAUGCAAGUCGAGCGAACGGACGAGAAGCUUGCUUCUCUGAUGUUAGCGGCGGACGGGUGAGUAACACGUGGAUAACCUACCUAUAAGACUGGGAUAACUUCGGGAAACCGGAGCUAAUACCGGAUAAUAUUUUGAACCGCAUGGUUCAAAAGUGAAAGACGGUCUUGCUGUCACUUAUAGAUGGAUCCGCGCUGCAUUAGCUAGUUGGUAAGGUAACGGCUUACCAAGGCAACGAUGCAUAGCCGACCUGAGAGGGUGAUCGGCCACACUGGAACUGAGACACGGUCCAGACUCCUACGGGAGGCAGCAGUAGGGAAUCUUCCGCAAUGGGCGAAAGCCUGACGGAGCAACGCCGCGUGAGUGAUGAAGGUCGUCGGAUCGUAAAACUCUGUUAUUAGGGAAGAACAUAUGUGUAAGUAACUGUGCACAUCUUGACGGUACCUAAUCAGAAAGCCACGGCUAACUACGUGC
rnacentral:rRNA from 1 species